GUAUCUCAUCCCCACUGGAGCAAGCAACCGAGCAGUUUAAAAAAUAGACUUUAGUUAGGCCAGGCGAGUGUAUCCAUCCAUUCCCACUCACUCAUUCCAAUAGCUGUUCAGUAACUGCUCUGCGUGAGGCACUGUGCUGAUAAUGGAGACAUCAAGAGCAGAGAAACGUCAUUCUCGUCCAUCAGUAAGCGUACAGAGCGUGGGGGAAAGAGGCGCGUAACGACAAAGCAGCACGGUGGCACAGAACACAGAUGUGAGCCGCCAACUGCCAAGGAGGUUCAGAGGUGAUGCUGGAGCCCAAGGAUAACCUCAUACCGGAGUAAAAGCGAAAGCUGAGUGCUCUAUAAAUUGCCACUUCAUGAUAUGGUCACAUAUGAAGACUGCAGUCUCUGCAAACUGAGCUGAUCCUGCUGCUACAAAUUCAAAAUGGCAAAAUAAAAGAUGUGCAAAAGGACAGGAAUUUGGAAUAGUCAGUCAAGAGGUUCUCCCAGUAACAGGUGAUGUCAUCCAUCUGCAAAUGGUUUAUGAUGAACUGGCUUCCCCUGGACAGAAGAUUAACAAGAAUAUUAUAUAUCACAGGCUACAUAUGGUUGAGUACUUUAU
rnacentral:lncRNA from 1 species